CCUGAGAAACCCAAAAGAUCGAAUGGGGAGAUUCAUCGUCAGCUCAUUUUGUAUAUAUGCAAAUGGUGAUAUGGGUUACUACUUGUAGUAUUGCCUGUACAUUGUUGUAUAUUUAGUUGCAAAGUGGUGUCGGCGUGCACUUCUCCCCUAGUAGGACGUCGCGACCCGUUGAGUAUCUGUCUACGACCUAAGUGGAAGAUUUUUAUGAAUUUUAUUCAUUAAAAACUCUUAGUGUUUUCUGACUGGAACUCGUCGGUAUAAAUUUAUGAUAUUGAGCCGCAUUUAUAUGCGUCCAUAUCUGUCACAAGUGAGAUUAGUUACUGAUAGUGCGGACUCAGUGCCGUCAUUGGUACUAAUCAACUGUUGGUUGUACAGAAUUCUAGGACUGGCUCAUAAAAAUAUCUGUCAGCGAUGCUAUUGCUUUGGGNNNNNNNNNNACCCGUCUUGAAACACGGACCAAGGAGUCUAACAUGUACGCGAGUCAUUGGGAUUAUUAUAAAUUAAACCUAAAGGCGUAAUGAAAGUAAAGGUCGGCCUUGUGUCGACUAAGGGAAGAUGAGCUGUGUUAAGAGACAGCUUCGCACUCCCGGGGCGUCUCAUUCUCAUUGCGAGAAGAGGCGCACCUAG
rnacentral:rRNA from 1 species